UACGAAGGGGGCUAGCGUUACUCGGAUUGACUGGGCGUAAAGGGCGCGUAGGCGGUUUGUACAGUCAGACGUGAAAUUCCUGGGCUCAACCUGGGGGCUGCGUUUGAUACGUGCAGACUUGAGUUCGGAAGAGGGUCGUGGAAUUCCCAGUGUAGAGGUGAAAUUCGUAGAUAUUGGGAAGAACACCAGUGGCGAAGGCGGCGACCUGGUCCGAUACUGACGCUGAGGCGCGAAAGCGUGGGGAGCAAACAGG
rnacentral:rRNA from 1 species